CUUGUCUGAGUCAGCUCGCUGCUGCUGCUGCAACCACUCAUCCUUAUAACCAUUGCUAAUGAGUUUGGAAAAAUUGGACCUGGAGCAGGUGGUCUGCGGUCCAGAGGAGGACAAGGUCCCAGGAGGACGGAAAACACUGAAGGCCCCAGAAGUAGAUCAUCCUAGAAGGCUUGGACAAUUGACCCGCCGCUAAUUUCCACCUCUCCGGAUCCGGCAGAGUGUCCGCUGCACUUCUGAUCCAGGGAGGCACCCACUGACGCUCCCCAUCGGGCUAGAGGCUCGCCAUUGUUCCUGCGCAGCUAAGUGCCCGGGUUCGUCCUAAUGGAGCCGAACACUAGUCGCUGGGUUCCACGGUUCUCUUCCGUGACCCACAGCUUCUCAUAGAGCUAUAACACUCAUGCAUGGCCCAAGGUUCCAUUCCUUGGAAUCCGUGAGGCCAAGAACCCCAGGUCAGAGAACAAAAGGCUUGCCACCAUCUUGAGAGCAGCCCACCACCAUCUUGGAAGCAGCCCGCCACCAUCUUAGAAGCUCUAAGAACGAAGACCCGCCGGUAACACUACAGUGCAAUUUACCGAGAAGGAGCCCAAAGACACAAGACUCUAGGGUGGCACAAAAUGCCACAGGUUUCCAGAACUCUGGUUUUCUGACAACUUAGGCUACAUCCCUCAAAGAGCAGGCUAUUGUAAAAGAGAACCUGAAGUUGUCAUAUCACAUGCUUGCUACCACUAUUAGACAUUUGUAUUUUUAAAAUUAAAAUUGGGCUAUUUUUUUCCUGUAAAGAUAAACAAAAAUGUGAGUGCUUUAAGGUACUUACUCUUGCUGGCUGGCUGUCGGUGGCUUGCUGUGGUGGAUAUACCAGUCUGGCAGGGAGUAGGCCACUGGAGAGCCUUUCCUGGUUCCAGGGGCAAAGUGCUUCAACAAAUCUCAAAAGAGAAAAUGACAUGGCUGUGAGACACCCCGCCGCCCCUACACAGACGCACAGCAUUGCCAGUGAUAGGCUCAAUUUACA
rnacentral:lncRNA from 1 species